UACAGAGGUCUCGAGCGUUAGGCGGAAUCACUGGGCUUAAAGCGUGUGUAGGCGGAUCGUUAAGUACCUUGUGAAAAUCCCCACGGCUUAACCGUGGAACUGCUUGGUAUACUGGCGGUCUUGAGCCAGCUAGGGGCUACCGGAACAAAUGGUGGAGCGGUGAAAUGCGUAGAUAUCAUUUGGAACGCCAAUGGUGAAAACAGGUAGCUGGGGCUGUGCUGACGCUGAGACACGAAAGCCAGGGGAGCAAACGGGG
rnacentral:rRNA from 1 species